rnacentral:sRNA from 2 species
ACCUAGCCCUGAUUGAAAUGAAAAGCCCGCAAACGAGGCACGAGUGCGGACUUGUAAUGUAAAGCAGGACGAACA